rnacentral:misc_RNA from 1 species
GAAAUGCGAUAAGUAGUGUGAAUUGCAGAAUUCAGUGAAUCAUCGAAUCUUUGAACGCACAUUGCGCCCCUUGGUAUUCCAUGGGGCAUGCCUGUUCGAGCGUCAUUUGUACCCUCAAGCUCUGCUUGGUGUUGGGUGUUUGUCCCCGUCUCCGCGCGUGGACUCGCCCCAAAGUGAUUGGCAGCCGGCGUACUGGUCCCGGAGCGCAGCACAUGUCGCGCAAACGAGUGCCUUGGUACGGCGGCGUCCAUAAGCCCCUCUCUCACGCUCUUGACCUCGGAUCAGGUAGGGCUACCCGCUGAACUUAAGC